AUAUCAUUAAAAUUUUGAGACAACUCUUUUCCUCCCCUCCUUCUCUCCCGUGGCGACUGCAGUGCUGCCAGUAUCCGAGCCCGCCAGAAAGCAACCCCGACCGAGUCGGAGCGGAUUCCAGGCCCAUGGACUAUCCGAAGAAGAGGCCCGGAUCGGAGCCAUCGUAGAAAUCGUCAGCUCCAUGGUCGACCUCUCCCGGAAGGGCCAAAACAUUGACCUAAACGCCCUCAAGACCACCGCGUGCCGCAAGUACGGCCUCUCACGUGCGCCGAAGCUGGUCGAAAUGAUUGCGGCUCUGCCGGAGUCGGACCGUGAGGCUCUUCUCCCAACUAGCAUGUGCGCAAUUCGGGCAAGGUCGAGUUCAUCUUAAUGGGCGGUACUUUCAUGUCGUUGCCUGCGGAUUACCGUGAUUACGAGCUCGUUUGAAUGCGCUUUUGAAAUGAUUGAAAACGCUUUUGGUGAAAAUAUUUUAAAACCAAUCAUUAGUAAAUAUGCAAGUAAAUCCUAAAAAAAUAUUUAAAGUGCUUCCUGGAAGAAGCACAUAAUUGGUGCUUCUUGCAGAAAGCACUUAAAGUGCUUUUGAAGCCCAAAAAUAUUUUUUCUAAAAGCGCUUUCAUUCAUUUUAAAAGCAUAUCCAAACGAGCCCUACUUUAUUAGAAAUCUGCACGAUGCGUUAUUGGGACACACUUCUGCCAAUGUUGAAGAGGCAGUUGCCUACUCUGAGCAUGGUGCUGCUAAAUGUAUUGGAAUGACCAUUGAAACGUGAGUUUUUAGUUUAUUUUCGAAGCCAUUAAUUUCUCAUUCUUGUGUUUAACUUGGUUGACAGUAAUUUUUAGCUUACCAUCUAGUUUCCAGUUCAUCUAGCUUACCAUUGAAGUGCAUAUAAACUUUUGUAAUGCAAAUCACACUGUGCUUAAUUGGGUGUUUUGUAGAAACCUUGUGAUAUAAAAUGAGUUAUCUUUUUUUUUUUCUUUUUA